UACGUAGGUGGCAAGCGUUGUCCGGAAUUAUUGGGCGUAAAGCGCGCGCAGGCGGUCCUUUAAGUCUGAUGUGAAAGCCCACGGCUCAACCGUGGAGGGUCAUUGGAAACUGGGGGACUUGAGUACAGAAGAGAAGAGUGGAAUUCCACGUGUAGCGGUGAAAUGCGUAGAGAUGUGGAGGAACACCAGUGGCGAAGGCGGCAUCCUGGACUGGUCCUGACACUCAUGAGCGAAAGCGUGGGGAGCGAUCCGG
rnacentral:rRNA from 1 species